CCUACGGGAGGCAGCAGUGGGGAAUAUUGGUCAAUGGGCGCAAGCCUGAACCAGCAACGCCGCGUGAGGGAUGAAGGUCUUCGGAUUGUAAACCUCUUUCAGCAGGGACGAAGCGCAAGUGACGGUACCUGCAGAAGAAGCACCGGCUAACUACGUGCCAGCAGCCGCGGUAAUACGUAGGGUGCAAGCGUUGUCCGGAUUUAUUGGGCGUAAAGAGCUCGUAGGCGGCCUGACGCGUCGGAUGUGAAAACUCGGAGCUUAACUCCGAGCCUGCAUUCGAUACGGUCAAGCUAGAGGAUGGCAGGGGAAACUGGAAUUCCUGGUGUAGCGGUGAAAUGCGCAGAUAUCAGGAGGAACACCGGUGGCGAAGGCGGGUUUCUGGGCCAUUUCUGACGCUGAGGAGCGAAAGCGUGGGGAGCAAACAGGAUUAGAUACCCUAGUAGUC
rnacentral:rRNA from 1 species